AAAGAUUUUAUGAUUUAAUGUAAAAAGUUUAUAUAAGAAAUUAUUUUAUAACCUUAAUCCAUGUUGAUGCUAUACUUAAUUAAGAAUUAAGAAAUAUUUUUUAAAUCUAAAAUUAUGAUUAAAGAUCUAAUAACAUUGCAUAAAAUAUGGGGUAUGGGUUAGCUUAAAUCAGAUCCUUUUAAUUGUGUUAGAUUUAAGGUUAGAAUCAAAGACUUAAUGGAC
rnacentral:lncRNA from 1 species